rnacentral:rRNA from 1 species
GUCUACGGCCAUACCACCCUGAACACGCCCAAUCUCGUUUGAUCUUGGAAGCUAAGCAGGGUCGGGCGUGGUUAGUACUUGGUUGGGAGAAAUAUGGGGUCAUUAUGAAGUUCUAUCUC